CUAGCCUUUGGAGCUAGCCGUCGAAGGUGGGACAAAUGAUUGGGGUGAAGUCGUAACAAGGUAGCCGUAUCGGAAGGUGCGGCUGGAUCACCUCCUUU
rnacentral:rRNA from 1 species